rnacentral:rRNA from 1 species
AUCUAUACUGUGAAACUGCGAAUGGCUCAUUAAAUCAGUUAUCGUUUAUUUGAUAGUACCUUACUACUUGGAUAACCGUGGUAAUUCUAGAGCUAAUACAUGCUAAAAACCCCGACUUUCGAAGGGGUGUAUUUAUUAGAUAAAAAACCAAUGCCCUUCGGGGCUCUUUGGUGAAUCAUGAUAACUUAACGAAUCGCAUGGCCUUGCGCCGGCGAUGGUUCAUUCAAAUUUCUGCCCUAUCAACUUUCGAUGGUAGGAUAGUGGCCUACCAUGGUAUCAACGGGUAACGGGGAAUUAGGGUUCUAUUCCGGAGAGGGAGCCUGAGAAACGGCUACCCACAUCCAAGGAAGGCAGCAGGCGCGCAAAUUACCCAAUCCCGACACGGGGAGGUAGUGACAAUAAAUACUGAUACAGGGCUCUUUUGGGUCUUGUAAUUGGAAUGAGUACAAUUUAAAUACCUUAACGAGGAACAAUUGGAGGGCAAGUCUGGUGCCAGCAGCCGCGGUAAUUCCAGCUCCAAUAGCGUAUAUUAAAGUUGUUGCAGUUAAAAAGCUCGUAGUUGAACCUUGGGCCUGGCUGGCCGGUCUGCCUCACCGCAUGUACUGGUUCGGCCGGGCCUUUCCUCCUGGGGAUCCGCAUGCCCUUCACUGGGUGUGUUGGGGAACCAGGACUUUUACUUUGAAAAAAUUAGAGUGUUCAAAGCAGGCCUUUGCUCGAAUACAUUAGCAUGGAAUAAUAGAAUAGGACGUGCGGUCCUAUUUUGUUGGUUUCUAGGACCGCCGUAAUGAUUAAUAGGGAUAGUCGGGGGCAUCAGUAAUCCAGUUGUCAGAGGUGAAAUUCUUGGAUUUACUGAAGACUAACUACUGCGAAAGCAUUUGCCAAGGAUGUUUUCAUUAAUCAGUGAACGAAAGUUAGGGGAUCGAAGACGAUCAGAUACCGUCGUAGUCUUAACCGUAAACUAUGCCGACUAGGGAUCGGGCGAUGUUAUUCUUUUGACUCGCUCGGCACCUUACGAGAAAUCAAAGUCU